rnacentral:rRNA from 1 species
CCGACCUGAGAGGGUGAUCGGCCACACUGGAACUGAGACACGGUCCAGACUCCUACGGGAGGCAGCAGUAGGGAAUCUUCCGCAAUGGGCGAAAGCCUGACGGAGCAACGCCGCGUGAGUGAUGAAGGUCUUCGGAUCGUAAAGCUCUGUUGUUAGGGAAGAACAAAUGUGUAAGUAACUGUGCACAUCUUGACGGUACCUAACCAGAAAGCCACGGCUAACUACGUGCCAGCAGCCGCGGUAAUACGUAGGUGGCAAGCGUUAUCCGGAAUUAUUGGGCGUAAAGCGCGCGUAGGCGGUUUUUUAAGUCUGAUGUGAAAGCCCACGGCUCAACCGUGGAGGGUCAUUGGAAACUGGAAAACUUGAGUGCAGAAGAGGAAAGUGGAAUUCCAUGUGUAGCGGUGAAAUGCGCAGAGAUAUGGAGGAACACCAGUGGCGAAGGCGGCUUUCUGGUCUGCAACUGACGCUGAUGUGCGAAAGCGUGGGGAUCAAACAGGAUUAGAUACCCUGGUAGUCCACGCCGUAAACGAUGAGUGC